UAAUUGGGGGGGAGGUGGGGAGGACGUCAAAUCAUCAUGCCCCUUAUGACCUGGGUUACACACGUGUUCCAAUGGACGGUACAAAGAGCUGCAAGACCGGGAGGUGGAGUUAAUUUCAUAAAACCGUUUUCAGUUCGGAUUGUAGGUUGCAAUUCGCUUCCAGGAAGCGGGAAUCGUUAGUAAUCGCGGAUCAGCAUGCCGCGGUGAAUACGUUCCCGGGCCUUGUACACACCGCCCGUCACACCACGAGAGUUUGUAACACCGGAAGUCGGUGGGGUAACCUUUUGGAGCCAGCCGCCUAAGGUGGGACAGAUGAUUGGGGUGAAGUCGUAGCAUGUGCUGGCG
rnacentral:rRNA from 1 species